rfam:Dipodomys ordii contig_11000, whole genome shotgun sequence.
GGGAAUGUGGCUUAGUGGUAGAGCGCUUGCCUAGCAUGCAGGAAGCACUGGGUUCAAUUCCUCAUUAUCA